CCAGCCUCUCCAGCACCCAGGAAUAAGAAUUUAUGAUCAGCCAAGGUUCCACCAACUAAAUUCAGAGCUGCAAGAAGUCCCGCUAGCACCACAGAUGCUGUACCCUGUAUAUCAUCAUUGAAAACGAGAUGAGUUGGGCUGUAUUUCGUCAGUAGCUCAAACGCAUUGUGAUUUGCAAAAUCUUCAAACUGUACGAGGACUUUCUCCCCAUAGUUCUGCUUGACUGCAGUCAUGAACUCGUCUAGAAGUUCAGCAUAUUCCUUUCCAGUUGCCCUCUUUUGUUUCAGACCAAUGUAGAACUCGUCAUUCAACAACUGCUCAUUGUUUGUGCCAACAUCAAUGGUAACAGGCAAGCAAGCUGAGGGACGUAAUCCUCCUAGUGCAGUGUACAAAGAGAGUUUUCCUACAGGAAUCCCCAUUCCCUGGCAGCCAAGAUCUCCAAGUCCCAAAAUACGCUCACCAUCAGUAACAACAAUAACCUGUAUAUUUCUCUCUGGCCAGUUUUUCAAUACUUCAAGAAUCUUGCCCUUCUCUUUCAAGCUGAUGUAGAGACCCUGAGGUCGCCUGAAAAUGCUACCAUAUUUCUGGCCCUCACCAACUGUGGGAGUAUACACAACUGGCAGCAGUUCCUCAACAUUAUCAAUCAGAAGCUUAUAAAAUAGUUUUUCAUUCCUCUCCUGAAGAUCCAUCAUAGC
rnacentral:misc_RNA from 1 species